GAUGAACGCUGGCGGAGUGCCUAAUACAUGCAAGUCGAGCGGCAGCACGGUCUUCGGACUGGUGGCGAGCGGCGGACGGCUGAGUAACGCGUGGGAACAUGCCCCAAAGUGAGGGAUAAGCUCCAGAAAUGGAGUCUAAUACCGCAUAUGAUCUUCGGAUUAAAGGAUUUAUCCGCUUUGGGAGUGGCCCGCGUACGAUUAGAUAGUUGGUGAGGUAAUGGCUCACCAAGUCGACGAUCGUUAACUGGUCUGAGAGGAUGAUCAGUCAGACUGGAACUGAGACACGGUCCAGACUCCUACGGGAGGCAGCAGUAAGGAAUCUUCCACAAUGGACGAAAGUCUGAUGGAGCAACUCCGCGUGCAGGAUGAAGGCCUUCGGGUUGUAAACUGCUUUUCUAUGUGAAGACUCUGACGGUAGCAUAGGAAUAAGGAUCGGCUAACUACGUGCCAGCAGCCGCGGUCAUACGUAGGAUCCAAGCGUUAUCCGGAGUGACUGGGCGUAAAGAGUUGCGUAGGUGGUUUGUUAAGCGAAUAGUGAAACCUGGUGGCUCAACCAUUCAGACUAUUAUUCGAACUGACAGACUCGAGAGCAGUAGAGGUACCUGGAAUUCCCAGUGUAGGAGUGAAAUCCGUAGAUAUUGGGAGGAACACCGAUGGCGUAGGCAGGGUACUGGACUGUUUCUGACACUGAGGCACGAAAGCGUGGGGAGCGAACCGGAUUAGAUACCCGGGUAGUCCACGCCGUAAACGAUGGAUGCUAGCUGUGGGGGGGUAUCGACCCCUUCCGUAGCGAAGCUAACGCGUUAAGCAUCCCGCCUGUGGAGUACGGUCGCAAGACUAAAACAUAAAGGAAUUGACGGGGACCCGCACAAGCGGUGGAGCAUGUUCUUUAAUUCGAUGGUAAGCGAAGAACCUUACCAGGGUUUGACAUCCUUGGAAUUUUGUCGAAAGACGAGAGUGCCUUUUGGAACCAAGUGACAGGUGCUGCAUGGCCGUCGUCAGCUCGUGUCGUGAGAUGUUUGGUUAAGUCCAUCAACGAGCGCAACCCUUAUGAAUAGUUGGAUUUUUCUAUUCAGACUGCCCCGGUAACGGGGAGGAAGGGGGGGAUGAUGUCAGGUCAGUAUUGCCCUUACACCCUGGGCUAGAAACGUGCUACAAUGGCCGGUACAAUGCGCAGCCAACCCGCGAGGGGGAGCAAAUCGCAUCAAAACCGGUCCCAGUUCGGAUUGCAGGCUGAAACUCGCCUGCAUGAAGUUGGAAUCGCUAGUAAUCGCAGGUCAGCACACUGCGGUGAAUACGUUCCCGGGUCUUGUACACACCGCC
rnacentral:rRNA from 1 species